UUUAUCUACUAGGGGAGCCUUUAGAAAGGCUGAGAUUAAAGUGUAACUUUGAGACCCUUUGUACCUGAUCUGGUUCGUACCAGCGUAGGAAAGUGGAAUUUUAUGACU
rnacentral:ncRNA from 2 species